UAGGGAAUCUUCCGCAAUGGGCGAAAGCCUGACGGAGCAACGCCGCGUGAGUGAUGAAGGUCUUCGGAUCGUAAAACUCUGUUAUUAGGGAAGAACAAAUGUGUAAGUAACUAUGCACGUCUUGACGGUACCUAAUCAGAAAGCCACGGCUAACUACGUGCCAGCAGCCGCGGUCAUACGUAGGUGGCAAGCGUUAUCCGGAAUUAUUGGGCGUAAAGCGCGCGUAGGCGGUUUUUUAAGUCUGAUGUGAAAGCCCACGGCUCAACCGUGGAGGGUCAUUGGAAACUGGAAAACUUGAGUGCAGAAGAGGAAAGUGGAAUUCCAUGUGUAGCGGUGAAAUGCGCAGAAAUAUGGAGGAACACCAGUGGCGAAGGCGACUUUCUGGUCUGUAACUGACGCUGAUGUGCGAAAGCGUGGGGAUCAAACAGG
rnacentral:rRNA from 1 species